rnacentral:rRNA from 1 species
GGAUUAGAUACCCUGGUAGUCCACGCCCUAAACUAUGAGUGCUAAUCGUUGGAACUUCGGUUUCAGUGGUAAAGCUAACGCGUUAAGCACUCCGCCUGGGUAGUACGGUCGCAAGGCUAAAACUCAAAGGAAUUGGCGGGGACCCGCACAAGCGGUGGAGCAUGUGGCUUAAUUCGAUAAUAACCGAAAAACCUUACCAUCCAUUGCAUGCAUAUAUCGGGGUCCGAAAAACGGAUCCUUCUUUCGGGAGGUAUGCACAGGUGAUGCAUGGCUGUCGUCAGCUCGUGUCG